rnacentral:rRNA from 1 species
GACGAACGCUGGCGGCAUGCCUAAUACAUGCAAGUCGAGCGAACAGAUGAAGUGCUUGCACUUCUGACGUUAGCGGCGAACGGGUGAGUAACACGUAAGGAAUCUACAUAUAAGCGGGGGAUAACAUUCGGAAAGGGGUGCUAAUACCGCAUAAUCUCUUCUUCCGCAUGGAAGAACGUUGAAAGACGGCUCUGCUGUCACCUAGACGGGACAUUGCGGUGCAUGAGUUAGUUGGUGGGGUAACGGCCUACCAAGACGAUGAUGCAUAGCCGACCUGAGAGGGUGAUCGGCCACAUUGGGACUGAGACACGGCCCAAACUCCUACGGGAGGCAGCAGUUGGGAAUACUCCGCAAUGGGCGAAAGCCUGACGGAGCAAUGCCGCGUGAGUGAAGAAGGCCUUCGGGUCGUAAAGCUCUGUUAUAAGAGAAGAACAAAUUGUAGAGUAUCUGCUACAGUCUUGACGGUAUCUUAUCAGAAAGCAACGGCUAACUACGUGCCAGCCGCCGCCGUAA